GACGAACGCUGGCGGCGUGCUUAACACAUGCAAGUCGAACGGGCCUGUCUUCUUUUUGGGGGGUGGGUUGAGUGGCGAACGGGUGAGUAUCACGUGAGUAACCUGCCCUUCGGUCCUGGAUAACCGCUUGAAAGGGCGGCUAAUACGGGGUGGUCCGGUUGGUCCGCAUGGGCUGGUCGGGAUAGAUUCACUGUUUUUGGUGUUUCGGCGGGGGAUGGGCUCGCGGCCUAUCAGCUUGUUGGUGGGGUGAUGGCCUACCAAGGCGGUGACGGGUAGCCGGCCUGAGAGGGUGGGCGGCCACACUGGGACUGAGAUACGGCCCAGACUCCUGCGGGAGGCAGCAGUGGGGGGUAUUGCACAAUGGGCGGAAGCCUGAUGCAGCGACGUCGCGUGAGGGAUGGAGGCCUUCGGGUUGUGAACCUCUGUUUCCGGUGGUGAAGGCCCUGUCCGUGUGGUGGGGUUGACGGUAGCCGGGGAUGAAGCGCCGGCUAACUACGUG
rnacentral:rRNA from 1 species